AAGUCGUAACAAGGUAUCCGUAGGUGAACCUGCGGAUAGAUCAUUACUAAAGGACCUAUCCAACGUCCUGUGAACUGUUUUGAAAUUCGUGUCAGCGACCUCACGGCUGCUGGCAUACCCCAUAAACGUAUAACCUAAACUGAAAUCUACUAGUAAGAACUAAGAGAACUUUUAGCAACGGAUCUCUUGGCUCUC
rnacentral:misc_RNA from 1 species